rnacentral:rRNA from 1 species
UGGGGAAUUUUGGACAAUGGGCGCAAGCCUGAUCCAGCCAUACCGCGUGAGUGAAGAAGGCCUUCGGGUUGUAAAGCUCUUUCAGACGGAAAGAAACGGUUACGGCUAAUACCCGUGACUAACGACGGUACCGUAAGAAGAAGCACCGGCUAACUACGUGCCAGCAGCCGCGGUAAUACGUAGGGUGCGAGCGUUAAUCGGAAUUACUGGGCGUAAAGCGUGCGCAGGCGGUUUGGUAAGACAGAUGUGAAAUCCCCGGGCUUAACCUGGGAACUGCAUUUGUGACUGCCAGACUAGAGUGUAGCAGAGGGGGGUAGAAUUCCACGUGUAGCAGUGAAAUGCGUAGAUAUGUGGAGGAAUACCGAUGGCGAAGGCAGCCCCCUGGGCUAACACUGACGCUCAUGCACGAAAGCGUGGGGAGCAAACAGGAUUAGAUACCCUAGUAGUCCCUGAGCGGGCUGGCAAGGCGCAU